UACAAUGGCGUAAACAAAGGGAGGCGAAGCCGCGAGGCCGAGCGAAUCCCAAAAAUAACGUCCCAGUUCGGAUUGCAGUCUGCAACUCGACUGCAUGAAGCUGGAAUCGCUAGUAAUCGCGAAUCAGAAUGUCGCGGUGAAUACGUUCCCGGGUCUUGUACACACCGCCCGUCACACCAUGGGAGUUGGUAACGCCCGAAGUCAGUGACCCAACCGGAAGGAGGGAGCUGCCGAAGGCGGGACCGGUAACUGGGGUGAAGUCGUAACAAGGUAAC
rnacentral:rRNA from 1 species